AACAUGCUAGAUAUCAGAUUUCAUCAUGUUACAUGUCCUCCUUCUUGCAAAGAUUUGGUUCUAUUACCCUGUCAAUUUCUCCUGGCUUUUAUAUUGCAAGAAAACAAAUACAGUUGCAGGUGUGGGAUUUUUUUUUUUAGUCUGAAAUAGAGUUGGGACCAAGUAAGCCUCUCUUAUGAUCCUCGCAACAGUGUUCCCAGGAAACACAACAUUCCAGAAGGCACAUCUGCUGUUACUAUAACAACAGAAAGUCAGAGUCUAAAGAGAAUCAUCUGCACUUGAGGGCAGUCCACAAACCAAGGGGAUUCUUGGGUUCCUCUCCAAGAAGCCAAAGGGACUUUGAAGAACACAGGUCUGACAGACUGAGUGAAGCUUUCAAAGAUAUCAAGACCAAGGGUGUGAUUUCCCCACUGCGGGACUCUGGGCAGAAUGUGGCUUUCACAGUUGGAGUUGGAGCAGCCAUCUUGGACCAGAAGGGGAAUUUGACAAAGAGGCCACAUGUGGCAGACAAGGUGGAAGAAACGUGUCUCGCUGACACUGUGAAGUGCCAUACUAGUCCAGGGCCUUAAUUACAACUUUUAUAUGAGAAAGAAAUCAACCUCCAUCUGGUUUAAGCCUCUGCUAUUUUAGGUCUUUAGGCAUGCACAGACAAAACCAAUUCUAGUCCCUUCUCAAUAUCUCAUUCUCUCCCUCUCUCACACACACACUCCUAUGUUGAUCCUAUCACAGAACUCUUCGUGCUUCGUUUUGUUUCUUGCUUACGUGUUGAGGAUGUCUUUGUUACACUUAUUUCUAACCUCUCUUCUCCCCGCU